ACGAACGCUGGCGGCGUGCUUAACACAUGCCAGUCGAACGGAAAGGCCCUGCUUUUGUGGGGUGCUCGAGUGGCGAACGGGUGAGUAACACGUGAGUAACCUGCCCUUGACUUUGGGAUAACUUCAGGAAACUGGGGCUAAUACCGGAUAGGAGCUCCUGCUGCCUGGUGGGGGUUGGAAAGUUUCGGCGGUUGGGGAUGGACUCGCGGCUUAUCAGCUUGUUGGUGGGGUAGUGGCUUACCAAGGCUUUGACGGGUAGCCGGCCUGAGAGGGUGACCGGCCACAUUGGGACUGAGAGACGGCCCAGACUACUACGGGAGGCAGCAGUGGGGAAUAUUGCACAAUGGGCGGAAGCCUGAUGCAGCAACGCCGCGUGCGGGAUGACGGCCUUCGGGUUGUAAACCGCUUUCGCCUGUGACGAAGCGUGAGUGACGGUAAGGGGUAAAGAAGCACCGGCUAACUACG
rnacentral:rRNA from 1 species